rnacentral:sRNA from 1 species
CACACAUAUAAAUUUGUAAUACCGUUCAUUUGGUAUUAUUUUUGGACAGUAGUUGUAUUUCAUGAUCAAUUGGAAUUAUAUAUACGAAUACACUAAGAAGAGACAAAUAUAUAAAAAUAU